rnacentral:rRNA from 1 species
CAGUCGAACGAGCGAGAGAGAGCUUGCUUUCUCAAGCGAGUGGCGAACGGGUGAGUAUCGCGUGAGGAACCUGCCUCAAAGAGGGGGACAACAGUUGGAAACGACUGCUAAUACCGCAUAAGCCCACGGGUCGGCAUCGACCAGAGGGAAAAGGAGCAAUCCGCUUUGAGAUGGCCUCGCGUCCGAUUAGCUAGUUGGUGAGGUAACGGCCCACCAAGGCGACGAUCGGUAGCCGGACUGAGAGGUUGAACGGCCACAUUGGGACUGAGACACGGCCCAGACUCCUACGGGAGGCAGCAGUGGGGAAUAUUGCACAAUGGGGGAAACCUUGAUGCAGCGACGCCGCGUGGAGGAAGAAGGUCUUCGGAUUGUAAACUCCUGUUGUUGAGGAAGAUAAUGACGGUACUCAACAAGGAAGUGACGGCUAACUACGUGCCAGCAGCCGCGGUAAAACGUAGGUCACAAGCGUUGUCCGGAAUUACUGGGUGUAAAGGGAGCGCAGGCGGGAAGACAAGUUGGAAGUGAAAUCUAUGGGCUCAACCCAUAAACUGCUUUCAAAACUGUUUUUCUUGAGUAGUGCAGAGGUAGGCGGAAUUCCCGGUGUAGCGGUGGAAUGCGUAGAUAUCGGGAGGAACACCAGUGGCGAAGGCGGCCUACUGGGCACCAACUGACGCUGAGGCUCGAAAGUGUGGGUAGCAAACAGGAUUAGAUACCCUGGUAGUCCACACCGUANACGAUGAUUACUAGGUGUUGGAGNAUUGACCCCUUCAGUGCCGCAGUUAACACAAUAAGUAA